rnacentral:rRNA from 1 species
ACGAUUAGAAAUGUCCGUAGCGAAAGCUGAGGUGUUGGGGGUUAAAUGACCUGACGUAAGCCAAGGCAUAGCUCGAGAGCGUUCAAGUUCUCGAAGUCACUGGAAGGACGUCCAAGAAAAGCUGCUAAGCUUUGAAUCGUGUGUGACCGUACUAAAACUGACACAGGUAGGUGAGACGAGUAGUCUAAGGCGCUCGGGAGAACGGUGGUUAAGGAACUCUGCAAAAUGACCCCGUAGGUUCGCGAUAAGGGGUGCCUCCGAUGGUUAACGCUGUUGGAGGCCACAGAAAAUCGGCUCUAGCGACUGUUUAUCAAAAACACAGGACUCUGCUAACACGCAAGUGGAUGUAUAGAGUCUGACGCCUGCCCGGUGCCGGUAGGUUAAGGAAGAAGGUUAGCCUCACGGCGAAGCUUGCGACCGAAGCCCCGGUAAACGGCGGCCCUAACUAUGAGGGUCCUAAGGUAGCGAAGUUCCUUGUCGGGUAAGUUCCGACCUGCAUGAAAGGCGUAACGACUGGAGCACUGUCUCAACCACCGACCCGGUGAAAUUGUAGUUGUGGUGAAGAUGCCACAUACCCGCGGUUAGACGGAAAGACCCCAUGAACCUUUACUGUAGGCUGAUAUUGGGUUGAGAUAUGUCUUGUGUAGGAUAGCUGGGAGGCUUUGAACUUGGUACGCCAGUAUCGAGGGAGCCGUCGUUGAAAUACCAGCCUGGUCAUAUUUUAAUUCUAACGUUGAUCCCGUGAAACCGGGCGACGAACAGUGUCAGUUGGGCAGUUUGACUGGGGCGGUCUCCUCCUAAAGAGUAACGGAGGAGUGCAAUGGUACACUCAGCCUGGUCGGUAAUCAGGCGUAGAGAGCAAAGUUAGAAGUGUGCUUGACUGCGAGACAAAUAAGUCGAGCAGGGACGAAAGUCGGUCUUAGUGAUCCGGUAAUCCCGAAUGGAAGGGUUAUCGCUCAUCAGAUAAAAGGUACUCUGGGGAUAACAGGCUUAUCGCAUCCGAGCGUCCACAGCGGCGAUGCGGUUUGGCACCUCGAUGUCGGCUCAUCACAUCCUGGGGGUGUAGAAGCUCCCAAGGGUUUGGCUGUUCGCCAAUGAAAGUGGUACGUGAGCUGGGUUCAGACCGUCGUGAGACAGGUCGGUCCCUAUCUGCCGUGGGCGUUCGAAUCUUGAGGGAAUUCAACUUUAGUACGAGAGGAUUUAGUUGGACGAAGCUCUGGUGUACCAGUUGUCGCGCUAGCGGCACGGCUGGAUAGCUAACUUCGGAACGGAUAAACGCUGAAAGCAUCUAAGCGUGAAGCCCAACCCGAGAUUAGGAUUCGUAGUCUUUAUGACGAGAGCCCCCUGGAAGACAACCAGGUUGAUAGGCUGGACGUGUAAGCACAGUAAUGUGUUGAGCUUACCAGUACUAACGGGCGAAUGAUUGGCCAU